GAUGAACGCUGGCGGCGUGCCUAAUACAUGCAAGUCGAGCGAACAGACGAGGAGCUUGCUCCUCUGACGUUAGCGGCGGACGGGUGAGUAACACGUGGAUAACCUACCUAUAAGACUGGGAUAACUUCGGGAAACCGGAGCUAAUACCGGAUAAUAUAUUGAACCGCAUGGUUCAAUAGUGAAAGACGGUUUUGCUGUCACUUAUAGAUGGAUCCGCGCCGCAUUAGCUAGUUGGUAAGGUAACGGCUUACCAAGGCAACGAUGCGUAGCCGACCUGAGAGGGUGAUCGGCCACACUGGAACUGAGACACGGUCCAGACUCCUACGGGAGGCAGCAGUAGGGAAUCUUCCGCAAUGGGCGAAAGCCUGACGGAGCAAAGCCGCGUGAGGGAUGAAGGUCUUCGGAUCGUAAAACUCUGUUAUUAGGGAAGAACAAAUGUGUAAGUAACUAUGCACGUCUUGACGGUACCUAAUCAGAAAGCCACGGCUAACUACGUG
rnacentral:rRNA from 1 species